rnacentral:rRNA from 1 species
AUUUAACUCUUUCGGCAGGCUUAACACAUGCAAGUCUAGCGAUCGGCGGACUUUUUAUUAAUGUCUUUAAACCUGCCUGAUGGAGGGUGAUAACUACUGGAAACGGUAGCUAAUACCGCAUACCAUCAGAUGUGCCCAGAUGGGAUUAGCUAGUAGGUGGGGUAAUGGCGCACCUAGGCGACGAUCCCUAGCUGGUCUGAGAGGAUGACCCGCCACACUGGAACGGAGACACGGUCCAGACUCCUACGGGAGGCAGUAGUGGGGAAUAUUGCACAAUGGGCGCAAGCCUGAUGCAGCCAUGCCGCGUGUGUGAAGAAGGCCUUCGGGUUGUAAAGCACUUUCGGCGAGGAGGCGUUACUCGCAGAAGAAGCAACGGCUAACUCCGUGCCAGCAGCCGCGGUAAUUC